rnacentral:rRNA from 1 species
GACGAACGCUGGCGGCGUGCUUAACACAUGCAAGUCGAGCGGGAAACUUCGGUUUCCAGCGGCGGACGGGUGAGUAACCCGUGGGUAACCUGCCUCACAAUGAGGGAUAGCCUUCCGAAAGGAAGAUUAAUACCUCAGAACACAAGAGAAACGCAUGUUCCUCUUGCCAAAGAAUGUCGAGGCGAGAUGGGCCCGCGGCGCAUUAGAUCGUUGGUGAGGUAACGGCUCACGAAGGCCUCGAUAGGUAGCCGACCUGAGAGGGUGAUCGGCCACAUAGGCGCUGGGCCGCGGUCCAGACUCCUACGGGACGCAGCAGUGGGGAAUAUUGCACCAUCGGGGAAGCGAUGAUGCAGCAACGUCGCGUGAGUGAUGACGGUCUUCGGAUUGUAAAGCUCUGUCUUCUGGGACGAUAAUGACGGUACCAGAGGAGGAAGCCACGGCUAACUACGUGCCAGCCGCCGCAGUAA